UUUCUCUUCCUGUGUUCAUUACUAAUCGAACUGAAGCCUUUUAAGGCAACAAGGCGUUGUUCUAACGUACUGCUCAGAAAGAUUGAACAUCUAUUGUUUGUAUAUAUUUGAUCCUUGUCCAGUCAAUUAGAUAAUUGUCCAGUCAAUGUGAACCUUGUCCAGUUAAUUAGAUAAUUGUCCAGUCAAUGUGAACCUUAUGCAGUCUAGUUGCUAUAUAUUUAAGUUAGAACAUCUCUUAUUGAUAUAUAUUUGACAUUUGAUCCAUGAACAGUGAUUAUCAACAGAUAGUUUUUACAUACAAAAUACCAGAACACCAAUAGUAAACCCAGAGAGGAAUGAAAAUCCAAUACCAGAACACCAAUAGUAAACAAGAGAGGAAUGAAAUAAUUGUACAUUUUACCUUUAUUGUCUGCGGAAGUGCAAAUGAUUGUCUUGUGUUUGAUGGAAAAAAUCACACCCUGUUUGUAGAAUACCUCAUUUAGGUUAUAAUGGAAAAUUGGAAUAAGAAACUUUUCACAGCUGCUCAGGAUGGAAAUGUAAACGAUGUGAAAAUAUGCCUACAGAAUAAAGCAGACAUUGAUUAUCAAGGAGUAAGU